rnacentral:rRNA from 1 species
GACGAACGCUGGCGGCGUGCCUAAUACAUGCAAGUCGAACGCACUCUCGUUUAGAUUGAAGGAGCUUGCUCCUGAUUGAUAAACAUUUGAGUGAGUGGCGGACGGGUGAGUAACACGUGGGUAACCUGCCCUAAAGUGGGGGAUAACAUUUGGAAACAGAUGCUAAUACCGCAUAAAACCUAAACACCGCAUGGUGUAGGGUUGAAAGAUGGUUUCGGCUAUCACUUUAGGAUGGACCCGCGGUGCAUUAGUUAGUUGGUGAGGUAAAGGCUCACCAAGACCGUGAUGCAUAGCCGACCUGAGAGGGUAAUCGGCCACACUGGGACUGAGACACGGCCCAGACUCCUACGGGAGGCAGCAGUAGGGAAUCUUCCACAAUGGACGAAAGUCUGAUGGAGCAACGCCGCGUGAGUGAAGAAGGUUUUCGGAUCGGUAAAACUCUAGUUGUUGGAGAAGAAAUGUAUCUGAUAGUAACUGAUCAGGUAGUGACGGUAUCCGAACCAGAAA